AUUGGGGCUACCCAGAACUAAAAAGUGAACAUUGGAAUCAGUUACAUUGUUCACAGACAUUGUUCUACAGAAUGUGGGGUACACAGUACAUAACUGUGAAGGAACUAGUGGAGUUGAAAGAGCAGCCAGAAGGCCGGGUUUUGAGUCCUGGCUCUGCCAUCUAAUGGCAGAUCCUUCCAUUUCUCUCAUUUCCAUGUCCUCAGUAGUUAAAUAGGAUAAAAAUAACAAAACCAAUUUCAGAGGGCUGUGAAGAUUAAAUGAGAAGGGUUCUUAUGAGUUCUCCAGUAAUGCAAUUAGUAUGGAGACCCCAGCAGCAUGGCUUAGUUCACAGAGCUUUGGGCCUCAGAUUUGGAUUGGCAGAGAGGAAGGAGAUAGGACCCUGGGUGCUGCAGGAAUGUGUGGAGAACGGGUCUCCCUUCUCUGGAAGAGACUGGCCUCAACACUUCAGUUUCCCCAAGAAUCUUUUCCAGGACUGCCUCACCCAUUUCCUACCUCCAGGCCUUUGCUGUCCCUAUAUCCUUCGGGUUGAAAGCACUGUACUUUUCUCCUAAGCCUUUGCGUGAGGGUUUCCUGACUCUGAGUGAAGUCUCACCUGCUUCAGGAUGCAGCUGUCUAGUGCCCCAAACCACUGGUCUCUCUCCUCAUUACUAUUCCUAGUAUUAGAUGGAUUUUAAGGUCCCUGAAGGAUGGCCUAUGCCCUAAAUAUCCAGGAUGGUAACUGGUUCGUAAGUUGGGCACAGGAAACAUUUGCUGAAAGAAUGAACUAACAAUAACUUUUUCAAUGUCUAUCAUGUGUCAGGCUUUUGUGUUUUUAAAUUGAGAAAGACAGCGUUCUUGCCCUCAAGGAGCUUACCAUCUAGUGGUAAAUCAGUUUAAGAGACAUGUAUAAAUACAUUAUCUUGUUUAAUCUCACAGCAACUCUUGAAGGAAGCUGGACGUUAAGAGAUUUGCCCAAAGUGGUCAAGCCAGGCCAGGGCUAGUCUGAGAGGCAGGUCCUGGCACUGAUGUGGAAGACCUAUUCACCUACUGCCAACUCCUGGGGUGCCUUGAGACUCCUUGCUUCCAAGGGUAAUGCCUAAAGAUCGGAAGGGGUUAGAAAGGUGGCCAUAGUGUGCAUCAGUGAAGAGCUCCAGCUCCAGGAUCUAAUUAUGUCCCAGCUCUGUCACUCAUUAGCUUUGUAACCUUGAGCAGGUUACUGAGUCUCUCUGAGCAUCAGUUUUCUUAUCUGUAAAAGAAGAAUACUAUAGUGGGCAUCCAUUGUUUUUACCUGCACAACAUCCUGUCCUACUUCUGCUAACAACACACAGUUGCUGCCUUCUGUCUCCCCAGUUGUCAGUAAUAUGGGUGGGGGUGCAGCCAUGUUAACUCAAGUUAGCCAGUCAUUUGCUCUCUGGAAAUGACUCUUAAGUGGAAUGACCCAAAGAUGGAAUCCCAGUGGAGGUCAUUCAUCCAGGUGAAGUCAUACUUCCCAGACUAGGGGGCCUGUCUGGUUCCUGACCUUUCAUGACUAGUUCCGCCUCUUCUGUGAGCUCCCUAACGCAACCUGCCCCACCAAAUCCCUCUAGUAAAUUCCCAUUUUCGUUUAAGUUUA